AGAAUGCGGCCGUUCGACAUGAGGACCUGUUUGGAAUUAAGUUGCAAAAUUGACAUAAGGACGCUACAAAGGAAUAUAGAUAGAUUAUGGAGUACAGGUACAGUGCCAUCAAAUGCUCUUCAUUCCCAGGAUUGUUUUGAGUACUUCCAGGCCUUCUCCAAUGCCAGCACAGCUCUUGUCAGACCCCUGACCUUGUGAAUGGAAGCAACUUGGACCAAAGUCACUGCUCUGAAGAACCUUUGUAAUGAUGACGUAGGGGUAGGAUAUACUUCUAAACAGACUUCAAAUAAAUAAGUUGUACAUUGAAG